rnacentral:lncRNA from 1 species
UCAUAAGUUGGCCAUCCCAAGAGUAUUUCUACUUGAAGCAGUCAUUAAUUAUUCUGACCAGGAUUGUCUGUCUUUUCUAUUUAUAGGCUGGCCAUGGGCGACACUGACUGUUCUUGGGUUCCUCUACUGCUAUUCUCAUGUUGGAAUUGAGUGGGAGCAGAAGUGUGCUGCACACUAGGAAUGAUGCAAACCAUUAUUCUUGAGGCCACUUCAGUGACCUCUCCACUGCCUUUCCCCAGCUCUUGGCAUCCUGUCUUAAGGCUACCCUUGGAUCCAGCUCUGCUGACCCACACUUCCCACACCACUGCCGGUGCCAUCUGCCCAGCCUUCGCUCAGGUUGUUCUUCUCAAAGUUCUUCGGUUUGAUCAAGUCCUGCCAAACAUCACUUGGUAA